AGCGUAGGCGGUUCCUCAAGUCAGAUGUGAAAUCUUCUGACUCAAUCAGAAGGUGUCAUUUGAUACUGAGGGACUUGAGAGCAGCAGAGGGAAAUGGAAUUCCCGGUGUAGCGGUGAAAUGCGUAGAUAUCGGGAAGAACACCAGUGGCAAAGGCGAUUUCCCAGGUUGUUUCUGACGCUGAGGCUCGAAAGCGUGGGCAGCGAAGCGGAUUAGAUACCCGCGUAGUCCACGCCCUAAACGGUGGACACUAGAUAUAGGAGGUAUCGACCCUUUCUGUGUCGAAGCUAACGCUUUAAGUGUCCCGCCUGGGGAGUACGACCGCAAGGUUGAA
rnacentral:rRNA from 1 species